AGCGAAUAGAUACCCGGGUAGUCCCAGCCGUAAACGAUGCUCGCUAGGUGUCAGGCAUGGCGCGACCGUGUCUGGUGCCGCAGGGAAGCCGUGAAGCGAGCCACCUGGGAAGUACGGCCGCAAGGCUGAAACUUAAAGGAAUUGGCGGGGAGCACAACAACGGGUGGAGCCUGCGGUUUAAUUGGACUCAACGCCGGACAACUCACCGGGGGCGGACAGCAAUAUGUAGGCCGAGCUGAAGACUUUGCCUGAAUCGCUGAGAGGAGGUGCAUGGCCGUCGCCAGUUCGUACUGUGAAGCAUCCUGUUAAGUCAGGCAACGAGCGAGACCCGUGCCCACUGUUACCAGCAUGUCCUUUGGGAUGAUGGGUACUCUGUGGGGACCGCCGGUGUCAAAUCGGAGGAAGGUGCGGGCCACGGUAGGUCAGUAUGCCCCGAAUCUCCCGGGCUACACGCGGGCUACAAUGAAUGGGACAAUGGGUCCCUUCCCUGAAAAGGGUUGGUAAUCUCACAAACCCAUCCUUAGUUCGGAUUGA
rnacentral:rRNA from 1 species